GAAGAAGAGUAGGGGAUGCGUGCGACCUGGGAAGGAUAAGCGGUGCGCAUGGAUCGAUCCGACACCAGGCUCCCGUGGGAGGAGAUCAUCCUCAGGCAUGGGAUGUGGGUACAGCCGAUGCGCCCGAGAGGAUGAAGGCGAGAGGCGCGCGAUGGGGACUCGGCGGAUGCGAUGCGUGUGAGGGGAUUUAGCAGAGGUGCGAGAUGCGUGUGAAUCAGGGGUCGGUCGAUCCCUCUCUUUCAUGGUGGCCUACCUCAUCUCAUCGCUCGACUUCCAUGUCCCUGGCUUCAAAGAGAUCUCGGAUUCGAUCUACUCUUCCAGGGUACUCAAUUGUGUGAUCCAGUGCUGCUCCCCGUGCGAUGGCUCCAUGGCGAUCCUGUUAUUCCUCUAGUUCUAGGAAUGGGAGAUAUGAAGGAAUUGAAAAUCUGACGGUCCACUUCUGGGCAUUAGAAGGACACACGCAUGAGUUUUGCUGCUGAUGGUAGAGAGGAGAUCAACUGCAAGGGGGGCGAGGGAAAAUCAGGGUCUGAAACUGAGGUUAUUCCAGGUUAAAUCGGUUUACAACUAGGCAUAAAUCUUCCCGAGAACUCAUAUUAUACAGAUGCAAAAUCAUCAGUUACUGUUAAGCUGUAAAAUUCCUAUAUUUAGGUGAUGGCACUGUCCGGGAGUUCUUUCAGAUUUUGCUUCUAUCAUGUCUAGUUAAGAUUUUGUCUCAUUCUCGGGGUCAGACCCUGCUCCAGCUGCUUGCUUGUCCACGAGCACACAGCGGACUGGGCGCGCAUUGGCACAAAGAGUUGGAUGCGUGACGAGUGUAUUGUCUAGGAGACAACCAGCUUGAGGCGAGAGGCUGGAGGCCACGCACAGCGACACUAUGUGUCCGAGACGUGUGAGGAGGCGCCGAAGGAGGGGUUGCGCGUCUACCAACGAGCUACACUGCAAAAAGUAGUCCCUGAGCACCUACACAGUGAGCGGGCCGGUGGGAUGAGGAUCAGGAGGCAUACAUCCAUGGUGAUUUCAUUGCUUCGCUUUGCUCUGCUCUGCUCCUUCUUGUCAGUUGAUCUUAAUUAGCUAUGCAUUAUCUAAGAUUUUCAGUAACUGGUGUGUUAAUCCAAUUUCUAGGGUCUCAACGCAAGUUUCAUCUGACCACUCAAUCUGUUCUUUUGUUAUAGUGACAAAUCUACUGUGAAAAACAUAUACUGAAGUUGGUUCAUAUACUUUAUUGCAAGGUGUGCUGGUGUGGAUUACCAUACUGAAUGCUAUGUAAGUUUUGUUCCUCCAUUUUUUAAAUUUCCUAUUUAAAUUAAGAGUUUUACCAAUCACUAUUAGUUGGCAUAGUCCAUUUUAGUCGGUGACAUGUCAUACAAGAAUCAAGAAAUGUGGUGAUCUUACUAUGCACUUUGAAGUCCAUUACUGAACAUUAACUGAAGUUUAUGUACAUGGUAACGAUAAGGUUGGUUCUUCAUAUUUUUGCUUUUAUCUGAUCAAGAUGACUAAUUGACUUCAUUAGUUUAGUUUGAAAUGUUAUAUGAUGCAAGGUUUGGGACUCGAACAGUUGCUGGUCUAUUAAUUCUUUUUCAAAAGGUUAGUUAUGUUUGUCCCUACAUAUAUGAUAGUUAUAUUUAUCAGAUCACGAUUGGUUAAUUAUGUCUUCUUGGUUUAAAGAUUAACCAUGGUUUGGGUUUCCGCGAGUGCUGACCUGAUAUUUCGGUAUUUUUUUUCAAAAUGUUGACCUGGUUUUAGAAUCAUGUUUAAUGAAGUUUAUAAUGUUAUCGUAAUUAUACUUGCCAUGCCAUCUAAUUUGUUUCAGAAACUAAAUAGUAUUCUUUAUUUAACAGUUGUUUGCACAUAUCUGUAAUCUCGAUGCUAAAACUCCAUUCCAACUUUCAGACAUUUUGAAUUUGUGACCAUUUGUCAAGCACUAUGUUUCUACCUGUACAGAGACAAGGAAGUUUAUGGAAGCAGAGAUAAUCACGAUGACCGAGGCAUAUAUUUCCUAAGUAAUCUUGCUCUGAAUUGAUGUGUCUAUCUAUUUAAUAUUUGCACUGAUUUUCUUUUGCAAAAUUUAAUCAGUGAAUUUCAAGGAACACUAAAUGUAUUUUCUGAAGCUUUUGUACCUGUCCAACAUGUUUCGACACCAUACAGCUGCCAGAGAAUGAAAAUACUUGCAAUGUUUUGUAUUUGCCCAGCAUCAUAGUAUUGUAGAACAUUGAAGUAUUUUCUGAAGAUUUUUCACCUCUCCAACAUGUCGCAACACCAUAUAUAUAGCCGUGAGAGCAUGAAAAUAUUUGCAGUGUUU